AUCAAUUUUUUUUUUUACCCAUAUUAAGGGCCACCCUAAUGUACAGUUACGAGUGUAUUUUUAUUUCCUGUGUCAUGAAAACAAAUCGAAAUAUUACAGACUAGUUAAUUUUUGGUUAGAUGCCUCAUCGUUGAAUCCUGGAGCAAAUUAGUAGGACUGAACGCUCGAAGUUUCAUGCGUGUGGUUUUUUAUAACGUUCAACAAUAAAAAGUAAUUGAAUAACUUGACGGAUAGUGAUCGAUGGGGGAUGAGCCGGAUUCUGAUUGAUAUUUUCUCAUGAAUAUGGUGUUCAAAGAAUAAAUUAUUUACACUGCCGACCAAAAUAAUGGAAUGAUCUGACAAAAAUUCGAGCCUCGUUACGGGUGUUACUGGAGCCCAGGCCAGCACUUCAUGGCCGUUUUAUGCUAGCAGGAUAAACUUUUCCGAAUGGAAUUUGUUGCGCCAUUUGUAAUUUUUCACAGGUCUGCAUGCCGUGAGUUGACUGAGAAACUUCGAUUUGUGCAGACAUAUUUUCGUGUGGGGUCCAGAAACCCCGCGAGACCAUGCAGAGGCAAAAAUUUCGAAAAAUCGGGUCUCAAAUUCAAUAUUUUAUGUGCCAAAGUGCAUUCGGCAACUGUUCCCACGCGCACAACCACCAAUCGUCUCAUUAUGAAGAGGAUCAGUAAGAACUUUGCCGGAAAAUGACAGAUAAAAAAACCAAAAUACCAGCCUCGCAUAUAUUUGUGGGUCGAUUGCAGAGGACACGAUUAAAAAAAAAAAAAUUGAUUAUGUUUUCAUCAUUUUUCAUCUAAAAUAUACGAUUUGUGCUAUCAUUUUUUAAGUAAAAUUUCUAUAGGCGCGCUGGGCUUGGGGGAUAAACUAGUGAAAAUCUUGUUACGGAAGUGGGUAACGGAAGUGCUACGAAAAGUGUGAAUGCCCAUGCGCAUGUACAUUUUCGUUCUCUCUCACGCUCAUUGCCAUGGGCUCGUGUGAUUGGGCGAGGCGAAUGAUAAUUGAGAGAGAUAUAUACGUUGGUAGAAAUAGAAAUACCUAAUACACAGUUUAGGCCCAUCGUCCCCACUCUUACAUUUAGUUUUGAGACGUGACUUAGAAGUAUUGUAAGAGCAAGAGAGAGAGAGAGAGAGAGAGUGAUGCGCAAGCACAUUUUCUUUCUCUCUUUUUCUCACUGUCAGUCAUACAUCUCAGUAAAGCGUGUGUGAGUUUUGAGUUCGGUAGCUUUAAAUGAACGAUAUGAAAACCAAGCACGAAACAAUAAAAAUAAGUGAUUUUAUAAAAAAUUUUACAUUACAAUAAUUAUAACACUUUUUUACUAGAGAAACUAGAGAAAUCCUCUACGAAAAACCACAAGAAUUUCAUGUUUUUUAUAUACAUAUUCAAGUACACAGUUGCUGAAUAUAAUGUUAUAUGUCAGAGCGCACACCGAUAAUUCAUGACGUAUCAUACAACUUGAUUGUUUUAUACUUGAUUUUUUAAGAAUCUCAAAAUAAAAUAGCACUGUUCCUUUGUAAAAAAAAGUCUGAACAAGAGGUCUGAAAAAGCAAUUUUAAAGUUAUCAUUUCUGAUCCCUGAGAAUAUUUAAAAUAUUUUUAUCGAAAAGCUGAGGUUUUUUCACAUAAAAAUGACUACGUUUAGUGUUCCGAAAAAUAAUUCGGGGGUUCGCGAUAUUUUCAACACGAGAAGUUAACAAUUGCAAAUUUACAAAUUUUCAUAUCUCUAUAACUUAGAAACGGCUAGACAAAAAAAAUUGAAAAAAAUCAUGAAAGCUCAGAGUGAUACGUACUUUUGAAAAGCAAUGGCCAUUAUAUGCGUAAUUCAGACCCUCCGGCACAAAUUAAUUCCAUAAUUGGUGGAAUGACCCAUACAUCUGUACGUUGCGAAAAAAGUUUUACUUCAAUUGUCGAUCAAAAGUCUCGAGUUCAAACUUCAAUAUAAAUAUACUUUUUUCCCCGUGCUUGAAAACUCUAUUUUUUCCUUGAGGUACAAUAUUUCCGGAGUAAAACGACCCUUGAUCUUUUAUCAUACGUCAAAAAUUCAAUUUUUAGCGAUUUAUGUUGUAAAAAAAGUAAUUUUCGUGAAUUUUAUUUUCAUGUUAUGUUGAGACAAAUUUGAAAUCGUAAAUAGAAGACAAUAACGAUUCGAUUAUUUAGAAAACAUGUUGAAGUAAUGUUUGACGACUGAUUUAAGCCUAUUUCCAAAUAUUUUUUUUUUAUUUUUUCGUUUUUGAAAAAGUUUUGUACGUUUUUUUUGCGCAGAGUUACCAUAUUUUCUCCUAAAAAAUAGGAUUUUCAGAAAAUACAGCUAAACUCAAAGAUUUCGAGGCUCAAA